rnacentral:rRNA from 1 species
UUCUUUAAGAAACACAAAAUAUUAUUUAAAGUAAAACCUGCUCAAUGACAAAAUUUAAAUAGCUGCAAAUAUAGUACUAAGGUAGCACAAUCAUUAGCCAUCUAAUUAGUGGAUAGAAUGAAAGGUCCAACGAAAAUUAAACUUUUUUAUAUAUAUAAAUUUAAAUUUACUUAAAAGUAAAAAGGCUUUUAUACAUAACAAAAAGACGACAAGACCCUAAUAAACUUAAAAAUUUAACUGGGGUGGUUAACAAAAAAACCUUAUAAAUAAAUAUUACCAUUAAUAAAUAAACAAUAAGAUAAAAUACAUUAAAAGUUACUUUAGGGAUAACAGCGCUAACUCUUUUUAAGAGAUCUAAUCUAAAAAAGAACCUACGACCUCGAUGUUGAAUUAAUUAAUCUUAAUUUUUUAAUAAAAUACUAAAGCGAAAAAGCUUAUUAAGAUGGUCUGUUCGACCAAUAAAUAAUU